rnacentral:rRNA from 1 species
CCCGCGCCGUAUUAGCUAGUUGGUGGGGUAACGGCCUACCAAGGCGACGAUACGUAGCCGACCUGAGAGGGUGAUCGGCCACACUGGAACUGAGACACGGUCCAGACUCCUACGGGAGGCAGCAGUAGGGAAUCUUCCGCAAUGGGCGAAAGCCUGACGGAGCAACGCCGCGUGAGUGAUGAAGGUCUUCGGAUCGUAAAGCUCUGUUGUUAGGGAAGAACAAAUGUGUAAGUAACUGUGCACAUCUUGACGGUACCUAACCAGAAAGCCACGGCUAACUACGUGCCAGCAGCCGCGGUAAUACGUAGGUGGCAAGCGUUAUCCGGAAUUAUUGGGCGUAAAGCGCGCGUAGGCGGUUUUUUAAGUCUGAUGUGAAAGCCCACGGCUCAACCGUGGAGGGUCAUUGGAAACUGGAAAACUUGAGUGCAGAAGAGGAAAGUGGAAUUCCAUGUGUAGCGGUGAAAUGCGCAGAGAUAUGGAGGAACACCAGUGGCGAAGGCGGCUUUCUGGUCUGCAACUGACGCUGAUGUGCGAAAGCGUGGGGAUCAAACAGGAUUAGAUACCCUGGUAGUCCACGCCGUAAACGA